rnacentral:rRNA from 1 species
AGCGAACGCUGGCGGCAGGCUUAACACAUGCAAGUCGAACGGAAACACCCUACGUUUUUGCUGUUCUCGGUGGCCGGUCGGGUAAGGGACACGUAAGUAUCCUACCCUUCUCUUUCGUAUAGCUUCACGAAGCUAAGCCUAAUACCAUAUAGCAUCUGCUCCUGCGUUGUAAGGAGUGGAACUUUGCGGCUGUUGGGGUUGGACUCGCGGCUGAUGGGCUUGUUGGUUGGGUAGUUGCUUGCCCAGGCAUUGACGGGUAGCCGGCCUGAGAGCGUGAACGGCGACAUUGGGCCUGAGAUAGGGAGCAGACGCCUACGGGAGGCAGCAGUGGGGAAUAUUGUACAAUGGGAGGAAGCCUGAUGCUGAAACGCCGCGUGUGGGAUGACGGCUUUCGGGUUGUAAAAAGCUGUAGCUUGUGACGACGCGGGAGUGACGGUAACGGGUAAAGAAGCACCGGCUAACUACGUG